rnacentral:misc_RNA from 1 species
GAUGAAGAACGUAGCGAAAUGCGAUAAGUAAUGUGAAUUGCAGAAUUCAGUGAAUCAUCGAAUCUUUGAACGCACAUUGCGCCCGCCAGUAUUCCGGCGGGCAUGCCUGUUCGAGCGUCAUUACAACCCUCAGGCCCCCGGGCCUGGCGUUGGGGAUCGGCGGAAGCCCCCUGCGGGCACAACGCCGUCCCCCAAAUACAGUGGCGGUCCCGCCGCAGCUUCCAUUGCGUAGUAGCUAACACCUCGCAACUGGAGAGCGGCGCGGCCACGCCGUAAAACACCCAACUUCUGAAUGUUGACCUCGAAUCAGGUAGGAAUACCCGCUGAACUUAAGCAUAUCAAUAAGCGGAGGA